CUGCUUUUUUCCUCGUCCUUGCUUGGCUUGGAAGACUAGUCGAUGCCUCAUCUCUUCCUACACUGUUCUGCUCAAAACUGUUUUGUUUUAUAUUUUUCCUCUUUAUAAAAACUGGUUUGGGUUUUGUUCAUUCUGUAUACAAGCUGCCAGAUGUUCAGAGGGGAGGGGAAGAAACUCACAGCUCAAAUCCUACCAGUUGCUGUGCCUCCAGGCUGGCGACAGCCAUGGCAACAGGUAUUAUUGUUGUUGGCUUUCCUGUGCGAGGUGUGAGGUGUGACACACUUUGACUUCUAGGAUACUUUAUUGCCAUUGUGGUCAUGUAAAAAUGAGAAGUAUGACAUGCAUUACCCAGGUCUUGGUAAAGUAGCGUACUCAAAAUAAGUAUGUAGGAAUAACUAUAGAAACAAAUAUGUAAAUGAACAACAUAAAACCAUUAAAAACGUCAAAGCAGUAGGAAGUACAAAUAGCAACAGUGGCAGAUGGUAAUUGGAUAAAAUGCUGAAGUGAUAACAUUAUGUAUCUAAAUUAACAAAAGUCAUCUUCACAGUGACAUUAUAAUGUUCUAGGGGGAAAAAAAUCAUAAAUCACACAACAGAUUGUGACCAUAUUCCCUGCAACUUAUAGCAGAGUCAAAAAAGAAUGCAUGGUGUCAUUCUGGUUUUCUAAUCAUUCUAAUUGUCCUCUGUAUCAUCAGUAUAAUAGAAAGCGGUUGGUGCAUACAUUUCUCACAGUGGCCACUUAUCUAAUGACACAGUGCUCUUCAUGUGGUUGGUCAAAUCACUACUUCCCACAACUGGAUACGCUCAAGAAAGCGAAUUCAAGACAGACGACAAAAUAGAAACAUAUCAGGCGAAUCAAGCUGACAUCUGAAACCCACGGCAGCCGCGUCACUGGGAACUACUAGGAUCUCUGCACUGGCUUGCCAAAACCACAGAGUUUAAACAACUCUGAAGAUGACAAGACAAGGAGAACGAAGGGAAGGGCAGCUACAUAUCAAUAUGCCAGGGAGACGGCCAGCUACAAACAGGUGUUUCUCCUCAUGCAUAUGAGAUCAUGGCUCGCGAGAGAGAGACUUCACUGCGUUGACUCGCAAACUUGGUGUCUCAUCAUCCUUCAUCCCUGGCUUCCUCCAUCUGGACUUCUAUGUUACCCAUCUUCUAUCCAUUACACUCUCAUUUAUCAAUAAUAACACUUAACAAUGUUGGUCUUUGUGAAACAAUCCAAGCACGACGAUCUUCACUGCGCACACACACGAGCACUGACUCAAUCACUGUCAUCGGAUCCAUCAACCAAGUUAUUUUCAUGUUAGUCACAGAGCCUUUAUUACCUCCCCUGCCCUCCCUCAACCUCACUGCCUCACUCUGACAAGCUCUGAUUGUCCCUUAAUAUUUGGGUGUCUUUAGGUGACUCCGGCGCUAAAUUGUUUACCCUCCGCUACUGAGAGGGGAGCUUUCAGCCACCCAGUCAGGUGCUUAUCUGAUGUAAUGGACCAUUGAUCACCUUUUACCCUCCAAUGAAUUAACUCUCUGUUAGUUCAAUAGAGAGCCCAGAACUACCCGAAUAUAUUGUUCCUCCAGGUUCACCAAACCUCCACUUACUGGUUGUCUCCCGUUUCAGACAGCAUCUGUACAUAAUGCAAGGAGGAUCGGGUUCAGCUGCUAAUAAAAAG